rnacentral:rRNA from 1 species
UACGUAGGGCGCAAGCGUUGUCCGGAUUCACUGGGUGUAAAGGGUGCGCAGGCGGAGAAGCAAGUCAGAGGUGAAAUCUCACGGCUCAACCGUGAAACUGCCUUUGAUACUGCUUUUCUUGAGCCAGGGAGAGGUUGAUGGAAUUCCAGGUGUAGCGGUGAAAUGCGUAGAUAUCUGGAAGAACACCGGUGGCGAAGGCGGUCAACUGGCCCUGAACUGACGCUCAGGCACGAAGCGUGGGAUCGAAACAGG